rnacentral:lncRNA from 1 species
AAUUAUUUCAAGAAAUGCAGGAAAAAAACAUUUCUCAAGAUUCUCAACAAACAGCAGUGGUCAUGGCCAAGUGGUUAAAGUGAUGGACUAGAUUCUCAACAAAUUAGGUCAUGUAUUCUCAAAUGGUGAGAAUUGGUUCUUUCAGGAGAAGGGGAAUCUAAGAAGUUACAGGUUGACUAACCCUAAUUCAAUACCCUUGAGACAAAAAUGUUUCCAAUUUUAGAUAUUUUUAAAAAACAUUUUGUAGUGUUUACCAUAGACCUUACAGAUUGAACAUUCCUAAUCUGAAAAUCUUGAAUCUGAGAGCUGGGAAUAUGUGGUAGAUCCUCGCGUAGUAUGCAUAAAGUCCUGGAUUUGAUUCCCAGCAUUGAAAAAAAAAAGAAAGAAAAAAAACCUCUGAAAGUCCAAGAAAUUUUGAGCACACAUAAAGUUUCAGAUAUGGUUGCUUAACAUGUAUGACAAUGGUUCAUGCCUGUCCAGAGGACCACAGUACAUAAGCAGACAUAUUGUAUAUGUGGUAUUAAAAUCGUAGGAUGGCAAGCACAGUUUAAAAAAAGA